rnacentral:ncRNA from 1 species
GCUACACUGAUGCAGUCAACGAGUUUUUCUCCCUGGUUUGAGAGGAUCGGGAAAUCUUCUCAAAUUGCAUCAUGAUGGGGAUAGACCAUUGCAAUUAUUGGUCUUCAAUGAGGAAUUCCUAGUAAGCGUGUGUCAUCAGCUCGUGUUGACUACGUCCCUACCCUUUGUACACAUUGCCUAUUGCUCCUACCGAUUGAAUGAUCCGGUGAAGUGUUCAAAUCGCGUCAACGAGGGUGGUUCGCCACCGAUGAUGUCAUGAGAAGUUCAAUGAACCUUAUCAUUUAGAGGAAGGAGAAGUCAUAAAAAGGUUACCGUAGGUGAACCUGUGGUAGGAUCAUUG